CACGGAGAGCCCUUCUGAGCCAGCCUUCCAGCCACAGGGGCUUUUCCUGCCAGCCCCUUCUUAGCACCAGGGUCAGAUCUGGUGCUGUGUCCAGUUCCCUGCUGGAGACAGUGUGACGGUACCAGGGAUCAAACUCAUGACCUCACCCUUGCCAAGCAGGUGCUUAUGCCACUGAGCUAAAUCCCUAGCCUGGGCUUUGGGCAGUUUUUUGAUACCAGGAAUCGAAUUCAUGACCUUGUACCUGCCAGACAGACAUUUGUGCUGCUGAGCUAUAUCCUUGGUCCACUGGGCUUUGGUUUUUAAAUGGAUCACAAAAUUUUCUAAGACUACUGACAAUUUUUUUAAUAUUAUACGUUUGGGGUUUUUUUCCAAAUCCAUUUUAUUUCAAGAGGAAAAAAAAGAAAAACUAAAACAAAAAUUCAAAACAGAUCAAUCAGGGGCAACAAUGGCACAUACAUCAUUGUGCACUGUCAUCCCCAAAUCAUUCACCCAGAGCACAGAACAUCUGCCUUCAGCUGUCUGCACAAUCUCAGCACAAAUCUUUCUCUUCAGUGAACGCAUAGAAAUCAGCAGUAUAGCUAUCUUAACUAUUUUAUAUGCAUACAUAUAUAUAUACACAUAACCAUGUUUGUUUCAGCUUCUCACACUAAUGAAAAAAUACAAUGUUUACACAUGUGUGUCUUAUUUCACUAAUGAGUAUGGUCUCAAGUUGCAUCCAUUUACCUAUAAAAGUCUUCAGUUUAUCCUUGUUUAUGGCCGAGUAGUACUCCAUUGUAUAAAAAUGCCACAUCUUUUUUAUCCAUUUUUCAGUCAAUAGGCAUUUAGAUUGUUUGCAAGAUCUAGCUAUUACAGAUUGUGCUGGGUGCACAAACAUGGGUGCACAUAUAUUGCUGUGAUAUGAUGUGUUUUAAUUUUUUGGGAAGAUAUCCAGAAGGAGGAUAGUUGAAUGGGACCCCUAGUCCUAGGUUUUUGAGGAAUCUCCACACUGAUUUCCUCUACACUUCCACAAACAGUGGAAAAGGAUUCUUUUUUCCUUACAGCCCCUCCAGCAUGUGUUAUUGGUUGAUUUCUUUCUGGGGUGAGGUGAAAUCUCAGUGUUGUUUUAAUUUGUAUCUCUUGAGUGACCAGUGAUGUUAAACAUUUUUUCACAUAUUUAUUUGCUGUUUGUAUUUCAUCUGAGAAAUUUAAAGACCCAGUCCAAAAAUGGUCAUCUGAAAUGAAUACACACUUCUUAGUAGGCAUCAUAAUCCCUGACUUGAAAUUAUACUAUAAAGCUACUGUGAUAAAAAAAAAAAGUGUGGUACUGACAAAAAACAGACCUGAAGAUCAAUGGAACAGAUUAGAAGAUGCAGAAACAACUCCAGACACUAAGCCAUCUGAUCUUUAACAAAGAUGCCAAACUCAUCACUAGAAAAAAGAUAGCCUCUUUAAUAAAUAGUGCUGGAGGGGGCUGGGGGUUUAGCUCAGCGGCAUAAGCACCUGCCUUGCAAGCAGGCGGUCGUGAGUUCGAUCCCCGGUACCGAUAAAAAUGAAAAAGACAAAAAAAAAAAAAAAAAAAAAAAAAAAAAAAAAUAAAUAGUGCUGGAAACAAUGGCUCUACACAUGCCAAAGAUUAACACUGGACCCCUAUCUUUCACCAUGUACUAAGCUAAAAGCAGAAUGGAUCAAAGGUCUUAAUAUUAAAACUGAAACAUUAAAUCUGUUGGAAGAUAGAGUAGGUAACACUCUGGCAAACAUUGGUGUAGGCAAAGACUUUAUAAAACAAGAUCCAGGUUGCACAGGAAAUACCACAAAGAAUAAACAAUUGGGAUCUCACCGUAGUGAAAAGCUUUUGCACAGCAAGAUAAACCACAAACAGAGUGAAGAGACAACCCACAACAUGGGGGAGAUGUUUGCCAGCUGUUCCUCAGAUAGAGAAUUACUACCCAGAACAUAAAAAGAACUCGGAACAAAUCAGUCCUCCUAGAUUUAUAGACUGAAUUCAAAAAUGAGCAUCUGAGAUAAAUAUACACUUAAUAACUCUA